UACGUAGGGACCAAGCGUUGUUCGGAUUUACUGGGCGUAAAGGGCUUGUAGGCGGCCAACUAAGUCCGACGUGAAAUCCCCAGGCUUAACCUGGGAACUGCGUCGGAUACUGGAUGGCUUGAAUUCGGGAGAGGGAUGCAGAAUUCCAGGUGUAGCGGUGAAAUGCGUAGAUAUCUGGAGGAAUACGGUGGCGAAGGCGGCAUCCUGGACCGACAGUUGACGCUGAUGAGCGAAAGCUCAGGGGAGCAA
rnacentral:rRNA from 1 species